rnacentral:rRNA from 1 species
UCGAGAAUUUUUCUCAAUGGGGGAAACCCUGAAGGAGCGACGCCGCGUGGAGGAUGAAGGUCUUCGGAUUGUAAACUCCUGUCAUUUGGGAACAAUUGUUGGCGAUUAACUGUCGUCAGCUUGAUAGUACCAGAAGAGGAAGAGACGGCUAACUCUGUGCCAGCAGCCGCGGUAAUACAGAGGUCUCAAGCGUUGUUCGGAUUCAUUGGGCGUAAAGGGUGCGUAGGUGGCGAGGUUAGUCAGGUGUGAAAUCUCGGGGCUCAACCCCGAAACUGCACUUGAUACUGCCUUGCUAGAGUACUGGAGAGGAGAUUGGAAUUUACGGUGUAGCAGUGAAAUGCGUAGAUAUCGUAAGGAAGACCAGUGGCGAAGGCGAAUCUCUGGACAGUUACUGACACUGAGGCACGAAGGCCAGGGGAGCAAACGG